rnacentral:lncRNA from 1 species
AACAACACAGGAGUCCAUCCCCACGGCGUGAAUGGCAUAGAAGUCCAUCUCCACGGCGUGAACGAAGUAGAAGUCCAUCUCCGCGGCGUGAAUGGCGUAGGAGUCCAUCCCCACGGUAUGAACGGCGUAGAAGUCCAUCUCCACACCAUGAACGAUAUAGAAGCUUAUCCCCACGGCAUGCCCAGUCCCCACCUCCACGUGAGAGAUAUAGGGAGGAGGUGGGAGCAGUCCCACGUAGGAGCGGAAGAGUAAAGAGAGAGGUGGAAAAGAUUCUACGCGGGAGAGAUGGACAAGAAAUAAUGCGAGAAAGCGAAAUUACACAAUCACUGACCACAAGGGAGCUUCGAGAUUUACGGAGUGAUUAUAUGUGCUUGCCUGGUGAAGAAGUCCUCACCUGGCUGGUGCGAUGCUGGGACAAGGGAGCUGAUAGUCAUGUAAUUGAAGGUGAUGAAGCACGACAAUUGGGAUCCAUUGCUCGAGACCCUGUGAUAGAGCAAGAAAUGGGAAGGGAGAAAAUGGCUUCCAGUCUUUGGCUCCGAAUCCUCCAUGCGGUGAGAGUGAAAUACCCAUUUAAGGAGUCCCUGAAGAGUUCUUCAAGAAGGUGGAGGACUGCGGAAGAAGGCAUCCAAUACCUACGGGAAUUGGCCAUGCUGGAGAUCAUCUAUUCUGAUCCAGAUUAUUAUGAUAUCCAAGUCCCUGAGAAUGUUCCCUGCACGCAACCAAUGUGGAAAAAGGUAAUUCAAGGUGCCCCUAAACCAUAUAUUUCCUGCUUGAUACCCGUAUAUAAUCCAAAGAUGGAGGAACCAAGCAUGGACACCAUGUGUGCUUGGAUAAGAACCAUAGAGGAAAAUAUGGAAGACUCCUUCGAUCCCCUGUACCGACACACCUACGAUAGGGAAAGAACGGAGAGAGAUUAUGAAUAUUCCAGAUAUGAGGACGACCUUAGAGAUAGAGAGGACAGAAGGUAUAGAGAUUACAGAGAAAGGCCAAUGGGAAGAUUACGGCGGGAUCGACAAAGACGACCUCGGCCUAGACCUCGAUCCUGGUCUCGAUCUCGCUCACGAUCCCUGUCAUUCACACGUCGAAGGAAAGAGAACUCUAAGCAUCGGUCAUGUAACCAACUAUGGGCAUACCUUCAUAGUAAAGGAGAAAACAUGAAGAAGUGGGAUGGUGAACCCACUUCUAAGCUUGAAGCUAGAGUGAGGGAGCUGAAGCGGAAAAAGACUGACAAGAAAGUUGUCUAUGUAGUAGAUGGAGACUUCUUAGAAGAGACACUGCGAUCGCCGAAGCAUGAGAAGAUGGAGGUCCACUUCGACAGCGGCAAAAAGUCUAAGAAGUCAAAGUCAAACUCUGACGACGAAUGUUCUGAUCAAGACCAGUAGAGGGGCCCUAUCUUCUGCCAGGAGAAGGAAAGGGACCAAGAAGAUAACCGAGUUUACUGGGCUGUGUGGGUUCGAUGGCCUGGCACAUCGGAUCCUCAGAGAUAUCAGGCCUUGAUAGAUACUGGAGCCCAGUGUACUGU